rnacentral:rRNA from 1 species
GACGAACGCUGGCGGCGUGCUUAACACAUGCAAGUCGAACGGAAAGGCCCUGCUUUUGUGGGGUGCUCGAGUGGCGAACGGGUGAGUAACACGUGAGUAACCUGCCCUUGACUUUGGGAUAACUUCAGGAAACUGGGGCUAAUACCGGAUAGGAGCUCCUGCUGCAUGGUGGGGGUUGGAAAGUUUCGGCGGUUGGGGAUGGACUCGCGGCUUAUCAGCUUGUUGGUGGGGUAGUGGCUUACCAAGGCUUUGACGGGUAGCCGGCCUGAGAGGGUGACCGGCCACAUGGGGACUGAGAGACGGCCCAGACGCGUACGGGAGGCAGCAGUGGGGAAUAUUGCACAAUGGGCGGAAGCCUGAGGCAGAAACGCCGCGUGCGGGAUGACGGCCUUCGGGUUGUAAACCGCUUUCGCCUGUGACGAAGCGUGAGUGACGGUAAUGGGUAAAGAAGCACCGGCUAACUACGUG